GACGAACGCUGGCGGCGUGCUUAACACAUGCAAGUCGAGCGGUAAGGCCCUUUCGGGGGUACACGAGCGGCGAACGGGUGAGUAACACGUGGGUGACCUGCCUUUAGCUCUGGGAUAAGCCUGGGAAACUGGGUCUAAUACCGGAUAUGACUCCAUGAUGCAUGUUGUGGGGUGGAAAGCCUUGUGCGGCUGGAGAUGGGCCCGCGGCCUAUCAGCUUGUUGGUGGGGUGANGGCCUACCAAGGCGACGACGGGUAGCCGGCCUGAGAGGGCGACCGGCCACACUGGGACUGAGACACGGCCCAGACUCCUACGGGAGGCAGCAGUGGGGAAUCUUGCGCAAUGGGCGAAAGCCUGACGCAGCGACG
rnacentral:rRNA from 1 species